rnacentral:lncRNA from 1 species
AAAGCCCAAGGCGGAGCUGUCGUUCUUUGAUGAUGCAGAUCGAUCUGUCUGUCAAAAAAUUCAUCCUUCCGACCCUCCAAUUAAUCAAGUGUUAUGUGCACCUCAGUCUUCUCAGGAUGCAGCAAAGAGAGAUGUCUGCUUGGAAGCAUAUAACCAAUUGCCUGAACAAGAUGAUGAAAACGAGCACAUGAAAUCCUUGACAGAUUCUAAUUGCCUUGGUGGUUAGCUCAUGCGAAAAUUUUAUUAAUUAGUGCUGGCUGAUUUUUAUUCUAAUACUGGUGCUUGAGUCUUCGUUUUUAUAUGCAGACGAGGAUACCAGAGGAGAGCUCCAUAAAAUGCUUGUUCCCACUGUACUUAAAGAGCAACGGAGUAAUGCAGAGGAAGUGUCAUCUCUUCUUGACACUCGUGAAUGCCAGCUGAUAGGAAAAAAAGAUAAUGCCAGCUGCUCUAGUGAUUCUGAGACUCCAGGUACUGAUCGGAUAACUCAGAUAUGGUGGUAUUUGAUUCAUAUUUCUGAUUGCUAGUAAUCCCCUAGGUCAUUCAAUGAAGAAGUCAGCAAAGUCACUUUUGUUUGAAAUCUGUGCUGCAAAUCGUUGGAAACCGCCUGUAUUCCAAUGCUGUAAGGAGACGGGGGCCGGCCACAUGAAGGAGUAAGUGUCCAAUUUGCUUCUUUUUUUUUNNNNNNNNNNNNNNNNNNNNNNNNNNNNNNNNNNNNNNNNNNNNNNNNNNNNNNNNNNNNNNNNNNNNNNNNNNNNNNNNNNNNNNNNNNNNNNNNNNNNNNNNNNNNNNNNNNNNNNNNNNNNNNNNNNNNNNNNNNNNNNNNNNNNNNNNNNNNNNNNNNNNNNNNNNNNNNNNNNNNNNNNNNNNNNNNNNNNNNNNNNNNNNNNNNNNNNNNNNNNNNNNNNNNNNNNNNNNNNNNNNNNNNNNNNNNNNNNNNNNNNNNNNNNNNNNNNNNNNNNNNNNNNNNNNNNNNNNNNNNNNNNNNNNNNNNNNNNNNNNNNNNNNNNNNNNNNNNNNNNNNNNNNNNNNNNNNNNNNNNNNNNNNNNNNNNNNNNNNNNNNNNNNNNNNNNNNNNNNNNNNNNNNNNNNNNNNNNNNNNNNNNNNNNNNNNNNNNNNNNNNNNNNNNNNNNNNNNNNNNNNNNNNNNNNNNNNNNNNNNNNNNNNNNNNNNNNNNNNNNNNNNNNNNNNNNNNNNNNNNNNNNNNNNNNNNNNNNNNNNNNNNNNNNNNNNNNNNNNNNNNNNNNNNNNNNNNNNNNNNNNNNNNNNNNNNNNNNNNNNNNNNNNNNNNNNNNNNNNNNNNNNNNNNNNNNNNNNNNNNNNNNNNNNNNNNNNNNNNNNNNNNNNNNNNNNNNNNNNNNNNNNNNNNNNNNNNNNNNNNNNNNNNNNNNNNNNNNNNNNNNNNNNNNNNNNNNNNNNNNNNNNNNNNNNNNNNNNNNNNNNNNNNNNNNNNNNNNNNNNNNNNNNNNNNNNNNNNNNNNNNNNNNNNNNNNNNNNNNNNNNNNNNNNNNNNNNNNNNNNNNNNNNNNNNNNNNNNNNNNNNNNNNNNNNNNNNNNNNNNNNNNNNNNNNNNNNNNNNNNNNNNNNNNNNNNNNNNNNNNNNNNNNNNNNNNNNNNNNNNNNNNNNNNNNNNNAGGGCCGAGCAAAAUCAAACUGAACCGUACAAAUUCGGUUGGGUUUGGUUUGGUAAACUUUUAAAAAUCUGGUUAGUUCGGUUUUCAGUUAAAACGAACAAAAAUUUCGGUCCGGUUCGGUUUCUAGAAAAAUAUAAUUUGGAUUUAACCGAAGAUAUAUAUAUAUAUAGGCAAGUGAUCAAAUAGAAACUAAUGUUAUUCUAGAAACUAGAAACCACUCCCAUGAUCACUAUUUAUAACUACUAAUAUCACUCGUUUAUACGCUAUUUAUCACUAUUUUAUGCAGUUAAAUUAGCAAUUUUUAUUAUUGAUAAUUGAGAAAAUUUACUUAUGUUCGCUAGUGGUUAUCGAUCAUUGAUGAUCAAUUAUAGUUGUAGGAGGUCUAUGAUGCUAAAAAAAUGAUGAGAUGAGGUGUGUGGUGGUGGUAAAUAAUCACUAGUAAUGACAAGUUAUGGUGACAAGCGGUGGUAGGUCAAUCGUGGGUAUAGGUGACCCCGAUAGCAGUGGAAUGGGUUGAUAAUGAUGCCCAGAGGUUCAUCAAUGUGGUAUGAGUAAAGAUGAUGAUGAUAUAUGUUGUAUAUAUGUAUAUUUAUAUAUCUAUAUUUCUGAGAUUUCUUGUAUAGAAAUAGUGAUUUGUGAUGUACAAACGAGUGAUAUUUGCAGUUAAAAAUAGUGAUAAAAAAUUGGUCAGAUACUAGUUUCUAGGCUAAUUUAGUUUCUAGUGGAGUAAGCCCCUAUAUAUAUAUAUAUAUAUAUAUAUAUAUAUAUAUAUAUAUAUAUAGAGAGAGAGAGAGAGAGAGAGAGAGAGCUCUUGGAAACCCAUAACUCUUGGAGUCCCCUCUUAACACCGUUGGAUCAUCUUUCCAUCCUAUGGUCUGCAGGAUACAAGCAGUUACAUAUUUUAAAUUUUUAAAACUCUCUAAUAUCCCUAAUCUUAAGCUCCGAAACAAUCUUGCAUAGCACUCUAUCCAACUUUUGUCCUGCAUUCAGACACUAGAAAUAUUAUUUAAAUAAUUUAUAUAGCUACAGGUAUUGCAGUACCAUAAAUACGCACAUUAGAAUUUUAUCAUGCAGCACAAUAUAGACAUUACAUAAAUCAUGCCAAAUAGCAUGCAGGACACAGAUCAUAUGUAACACAGAACACAAUGCUAAGCAUAGAACAUUAAACUAUGCAGGACAUAACUAUGGUCUAUGUUUUGCAGUUUACAAAUAAGAUAUACACAACUUGGCUUUGCAUUACUAAAAAAACUCAUAAUUUAUACAUUCAAUGCGGAAUCUUUUCAGGGUAUGCUGCAACUCAUAUAUCAUACAGAAUAUCUGCAAAUCACCAACCCAGUUUGUACACGUAUUCUACAAAUAUUAACAACAGAGAAAAAACAAAAUUAAGAACAUGAAACUAUGCAGGACACAGCUAUGUUCUGCGGUUUACAAAAAAGAUGUACACAACUGGGUGUCCGAUAGAGAAUGCGCAGAACAAAGAGAAAAAGAAAUAACGCACCACUGAAAAGGUUGCAAAACAAAUGGCAGGAUAAUAUCUUCCCACAAACUCAGCAACAAAAUAACUAACGCUACAAUCGUGGAAGAGAUGAGUGAGCGCUUAAUUUGGAAAGAUAAAGUAGUUAAUUAUUUAAAUUUUAUAUAAUUCUAAUUAAACUACAACCGUCAGAUGAGAAUGAAAUGGAGGGUCAGGAUUGGGACUCCGGGAACUCCAAAAAAAAUGGGACUCCAAAUAACUUUUCUAUAUAUAUAUGUGUAUAUAUAUAUAUAUAUAUAUAUAUAUAUAUAAUACUUAUUUCAAGAAUAGGUAAAAAUUUUAUCUACAAAACUUGAAUACCUCAUUAGUUCUGCCAAUAUUUUCCAUUCGAGUGCUGGUUGUUAAUAUGACUGUUUUUUACAAGUCAAAGGUUAGGUCCAAAUAUUAAAGUAGCUUAUAGGAGAAUAUUAAAGUUUAACAUUGUUCUGGGUGGUUCUUUUAUUUCACUGUCAUGCCAUAUAAUAUAUAUGAAGGUUUUUUUUUAACAUUUUAAUCUGGAAAAGUUUAGUUUUUUUUUCUAAUUUUUGCAGAGAUUUAAAGGCCAAUCCGGACUUCUCAUCCAAAGUGCAUCCACUAGGUGUAGAACCGCAUAGAUCUGGAGGCACCAAGAUCAAACAGAUCAAGCAAAUAUCAUCUUUUCGUGACACUCGUGAAUGCCAGGAAACAGUCAACAAAGUUAUUAGUCGUUGCUCUAGUGAUUCUCAGACUGCAGGUAAUGAUUGGGCAACACAUAUAUUAUUGUAUUUUAUUCUAUAUCAUAUUUCUGAUUUCAAAGUAAUUCCCUAGGUUGUUCGAUGAAGAAGUCAGCAAAAUCGCAUUUGUUUGAAAUCUGUGCGGCAAAUCAUUGGAAACCACCUAAAUUUAUAUGCUGCAAGGAGACUGGGGCCAGUCACUUGAAAGAGUGAGUGUCCAACUUUUUUCCUAUUUUCUUGUGUGAAUAUUAUGAUUAUCAGGAUCUGGUCAGAUGCUUUCAGUGCUCUGGUUUUAUAAUUUUCAACGAAAAGAUAGAACCAUGUGUUGCAAGUUGUAAGGUGUUCUUUGUCUGAGAGAUCCUUGAAGUUUUUCUUCUAGAGAGAGAACAUUGGUCUCCAAAAACUAUAUUACAUGUUUCUCCUUUCGAACUGCCUGAGAAACCUGCACUAAAGACUCUUCCUUUUGUAGCCAGUAUUGCUAAAACUCUUCCUUUUUAUAGCCUGUAUUGCUAACUAUCAUCCACACCUACAGGUUCACAUAUAAAGUGAUCGUGAAGCCCGAUUUGGGAAAUUGUUUCAUUGAAGCCAUCGGAAAACCAUCUGGUAAAAAGAAAGAAGCUGCGGAGAAUGCAGCUGACGGGGCUGUUUGGCUCUUGAAAGAGCAUUUUUUUGUAGAUCAAAAUUUAUGGUCGUAGCUUAGCUAGAAACAUGCACUGUUACAUUGUCCAGGAACGUUGGUUUACUUAAUAACUGAGUGUAGCGGUUUAUAAAUUAAGGUGUUGGCUCCUUAUAUUACAAUUUAAGCGUUAUCUCAAAUAUUAGGUUAGAAAAUAUAGUCUCAAAUAUCAUUUUAUAACUCUAAUCGUUUAGCGUUUAUAAUUAUUUUUUUAAAAAAAACUGAAAUGCUAUAUUGUGUAGUGUUUAUCAAUUUUUUUUAAUCGAAGCCUAUUAAAGAAUAUCUAUCAACUUUGAAACUUACAGUAUCGCAAUUGAUUGUAUAGUUUAAUAUUUAAUCUAUUUAUUAAGAAUUAUCGAUUAUAUUUAUUGAUAUUGGAAAAAUAAAUAUUCCUAAACUAUGAACAAAUAUUUAUUGUGGAAAAUGAACUCUUGUAAUAUCCAUCAUAGUUUUAGUUUUAGAUGCGAGUCUUGUACAUGUCCAAGAAUAUUAUAUAAAUUUUUCUCAUAACAAAUACCAACGCCGUAUAAAUAUAUAAAUAUAUUAAAAUAUAACAUUACUAGAAGAUAGGUAUCGUAACAACUAUCUUGAUAGAUAAGAUCUAAUAAAUAUAAAACCCGUAUUAAAAUAUAUAAAAUACUAAAAUAUAAUACUAGAAGAUAUCGGAUAUACUAUUAAUAAAAAUUAAAAUAAAAUUUUAUACAGAAAAAAUACACUAAACGCCUAAUCUUGAAAUGCUUCUUCCUCAUAUUUCAACAUCCUCGCCGUCGGCGGCUCUCGUCAUUGCCGGCGGCUGCAUCCGACGUGGUAUGCAUAUUUACAAAAUCUCAGCAUCUUCUCAUGGCCAAUCUCCCAAACCUCUGAGGUCUCUCUCUCUCUCUCUCUCUCUCUCUCUCUCUCUCUCUCUCUCUCUCUCUCUCUCUCUCUCUCCCUCCCUCCCUCUCAGAUAUAUGUCAUAUUUGUGUGUAACUAUAUGAUUCCAAGUUCUAAAAUUUAUAAAUGUGAUUGUAUGAAAGAAUUGAUGCUAUGUAUAAUGUGCAGAUAUGCUGUGCUUGGUGCUGGCUUUGCUGGUUUGUCUGUCACUUGGCACUUACUACAAGUACAUAUCCCCUCUCUUUCUAUAUGUAUCUCAUUGUGUUAAUCUUCUGGAAUCUGUAGAAGUGAACAACAAAUCUGUAAAAAAUAUGGUGUGUGUUUUCAUAGCACGUGUAACAAUAUAAAACAUGAAAACCAACCCCAAGCACAAGCAAGUCAUAGUAUUCCGCCAACCACUGCACAAGACUAUGUAUAUACAUGCCAAGAGAAAGUUACUACAGUAAAUAUUAUAGUGACAGGUACCCAUAUUGAUAGAACGGAAGGAAUUCAAGACAUUACACACCUAUUUCAACAAAUGAAGAAGUAGAUCUUCUCACUGAUACGAUAAAGGAGAAUAAUUGGCCUUUACAGAAGUCAAGCCUCACCUCAUGUUUUAAUUAGUACUAAUACUAGUAGUACUAUUGACUACUCUGAACCCUGUAAGAUCUUAUCAUUUGAUCUCUUUUCUUGACAUACAUAUAUAUAUAUAGGGGUUUGUUCAAAUACAAACCAACUUUAUCAUAAAAACCUAAAAACCAAUUUCAAAACUAAACAAAUAUACCCCCAAACUCUUAAAAACUAACAAUAUCACCCCCCCUAGCUUUGCCAUCAACUUCCCCAAACUUACACUUUCCACCCCGCCACGUCAGCGCAAGGGGUCCCCCACUGCUGACGUGGCACUGCCACGUCAUCUGCCACGUCAGCACCUGCUGACGUGGCACUUCCACGUCAUCUGCCACGUCAGCAGUGGGCUGACCCAGUACUGACGUGGCAGCUGAUGUGGCAGUGCCACGUCAGCAGGUGCUGACGUGGCAGAUGAUGUCAGCAGUGGACCCCCCGGAAAAAUAAUAAAAAUAAAAAAUAAAAAGAUUGGAGUGCUCAUAGCAAAAAUGGGGGUGGAAAUAGUGGUUUUUAGGUUUGUAUGAGAGUGUGGUUUGUAGUGGAAUAAGCCCCUAUAUAUAUAUAUAAAUAUAUAUAUAUAGGCAAUUGACCAAAUACAAACCACUAAAAUAAAAACCAAGAGAAACUAUACUUAAACGACAUCAACCACCCCUAUAUGUCAUCACUUACCCCCUAUAUGUCAUCACCCAUCCAGGGCACACCGUCGGGCCCACCGUCGGCCCCACUCAAUCCACUCGGGCCCGCUAGAGCCAAGGCUCCGCACAGGCCUAAACAUGCUGCAGACAGCCUAAAGAGCCAAAACUUGGCCCCACCAUUGUCCCAUGUUCCCACAGUCCCACUAGGCCCCACUUAGACCCCGUCUAGGCCCAUCGCGAGGUCCAUCCCCGGUCCCAAAACCCUUACCAUUCUACUUAAUCGCAUUGGUAUGUAUUUAGUUCGUAUUUUAGUAGUUUGUAUUGGAGUAGACCAUAUAUAUACAUAUAUAUAUAUAUAUAUAUAUAGAGUAAGGUUCGAGGGAGAACCUUAUUAUCAAGAGAACUGAGAGAUCCAAUAACAACCGUAGAUAUAUUCUAAUAUUAUAAUGAUUUAAAACCCAUUAAUUUAAUGGCAUUAUUGUAAUAAUCAUGUAUAUGCCGGGUAAACGGCUUUCUAUUUUGGACCUGAUCAACAAAGAAUCUUUUAAACAUGGAAAUUUGUAUCACAUUUAAUUGCAUACAAAUCAAUCACAAUAAAAUUUUAAAAGGAAAGAUUAUGCAAUAUUCUCAUUAUUUAGAUAUAUAGAAACACAUAUAAUACAAAACAUACUCUUAUCUUCUACAAUCACAGACGUAGAACAACUUAGAUGCAGAAUUCCAUGAUGGAGAACAGCGAGAAAAUUACAAGGUUUGCAUUCUAUCUUAUUAAUGUUCAGUGGGUGUUUUAAUCGAUUAUGUUAAAUAAUCUCCAUCAAUUCUGCAAGUCAUCUUCAUCCGUAGAAAUGGACUCCUACAACUCCUGUUACCAAGAUCAAGAUUAUCAACCAGAAGAUGAAGAAACGAUAUCUCUUAGUGACUUCCAAUUGAUUUCCGACGAAAACAAUUUGCACGAAACAGCGGAUCAGUUCUGCAAACGUCAAGAUCUUCCAUCACAAGCAGAGACAAAUGAGAUUUUCGAGUUUUCGAGCUACCCUAGUUCCACCAUGUCUCAUGCAGAAGAUAUCAUCAACUGCGGUAAGCUCGUGCCUUUCAAAGAGCAAGAUCAUGGAUCACAAAACUUAUAUGGCCGGCGCUGCCGGUCAGAGCCGUUGCCCGAGUUCAAGAUUAGUGGUCGUCAAUCCAACACCACCAAUAUGAAGAUGAGAAACAGCAGGUCUUUUGAUUAUCAGAAACUAAGCAGAGACUCAAGCACGAGCUCUGAUUCACCGGAUUCUUAUCGAAACAACAGUCCCGGGUUAUAAGAUUCGACGGCAGUAGCCUAAGGAUUCCGAAACCUAGGUGUAGGGGUGUGCACGGGUCGGUUCGGCUCGGUUUCUAUCUAAAACCGUUACCGAACCGUGUAUUUCGGUUCGGUUCGGUUUUUAGGAAGAAACCGUAACCGAACCGUUGCAAACGGUUUUUUUCGGUUCGGUUAACCGUUGGUCGGUUUCGGUUUUUUUCCGGUUUUUAUAUGAUUAGAAACUACUAUACAAAUUUAAUACUUUUAUUAAUUUUAGAAAAAUAUUUAUAUACUUAUUAUAUCAAUUUUUCUUACUAAAAUAUAUAAUUAAUAUAUUGUUGCAUAUAUAUAUAUAUAAUAUGUUAUAUAUAAUAAUAUAUAAUAAAUGUUGUAUUUUUAUUAUAUAUUAUAUAAACGAUUUGGUUUUUUGGUUCAAACUACUAUACAAAUUUAAUACUUUAUUAAUUUUAGAAAAAUAUUUAUAUACAUAUUAUAUCAAUUUCUCUUACUAAAAUAUAUAAUUAAUAUAUUGUAGCACAUAUAUAUAAUAUGUUAUAUAUAAUAAUAAAUGUUAUAUUUUUAUUAUAUAUUAUAUAAACGGUUCGGUUUUUCGGUUCGGUUUUAGGGGUAAAACCGUAACCGUUACCAAACCGUUAUAUCGGUUCGGUUCGGUUACGGUUUUUUUCGGUUUUUGUCGGUUACGGUUUUUUUCGGUUUGGUUUUUCGGUUUUUCGGCUCGGUUUCGGUUUUCCGGUUUUUUUUGCUCACCCCUACCUAGGUGGUAUAUUCUAGUCAAAUAAUAUCAAGGUUUUACUAAUUUAACCUUGAUUCAUUUAACUAUUCUGAUAAAAAUCUAUUAAAAAAGAUUCUUUUAUGCAUUUUAAAAGACAUUAGUGUUCCUCUGUAAAAGAUAUCAAUUUUUAGUAUAGAUUGUAGAUUUUUUUUUUUUUAUCAAGAUUCCAUUAUGCGUUUUAUUAGAUUAAAGAUGAUUUGUGUAAAUAGCAUGUAAUUAUUCCAUAUCAGCGAGCAUUUAAAUGUGAUUCUUUUAACUAUUCCUACAAAAUUCAAGUGAAUUUCUAUAUAUAUUUAAAAAUAUUUUAACUGUUUAAAUAUUAUUACUCUAGUAAUUGUAUAUAAUAUCUUUGAUAAGAUUCAAUUAUGUGUUUUCAUAACACACUUAAGAGAAUUUUAAAUUACAUUAAAGAUUAUUUUAGAGAACUUUUUUUUUUUUUUGAUGAAGGGUUUUUUAGAACCUAGUUGAAUUUUAAUACAGUUAUAUUCUCUUAAGGAGUCUACUUGAUUACCACCGUACUUAUCAUUUUUAUCUAUAAAAGAAAAGUUGUGGAAACAAAUUACUAACUAAUUUUUCAUUACUAAAAUAAAAUAUAAUAAAAUUAUAUUUUCAUUUAUUUAAAACACCUAAAAGAAUCUCCCGACAGAUAAUAUUUCUCAAACAAAUAAUUGUGUAUUUAUUUUAAUACACAAAUAUAUUCUCUCAAAUGUUUUAAAUAAUUGAAUUUUACUACAGUUAUAUUUCUUUUAAAGAAUCUUCUAAUUACUGUCAUAUCUAUCUUUUUAAAAUUAAAUAUUAAUAUAAUUAUAUUCUCCUGAAUAAUCUACUAAUUCCCGUCAUAUUUAUCUUUUUAUCUGUAAAAGAAAAGUUGUGGAAUCUAAUUACUAACUAGUUUCCCAUUAUUAAAAUGGAAUAUAAUAAAUUGCAAUUUUCAUUUAUUUAAAACACUUAAGAGAAUCUCCCGACAAAUAAUAUUUUUUAUAAUAAAUACUUGUGUAUUUUAUUUUAAUACACAAAUAUAUUCUUUAAAUUCCUUUAAAUAAUUGAAUUUCAUCAUAACUAUAUUCCUUUAAAAACAUCUACUAAUUAACUUCAUAUUUAUCUUUCUAAAUAAUCGAAUUUUAAUAAAAUUAUAUUUUCUUAAGGAAUCUAUUAAGUACUGUCAUAUUUAUAUUUUUUAUCAGUAAAAGAAAAGUUGUGGGAUCUAAUUACUAAGUAAUUUCUCAUUAUUAAAAUAUAAAUUAAUAAAUUAAUAUUUUUAUUUAUUUCAAUAUUUAGUUGAAUUACUAAAUAUUAUAUUAUGCUAAGAUUCUAUAUAUGUACACUUAAAGAUUCUUAUAAAAAUUAUAUAUUUAUAUAUUAGUUUGGGUUCGGAACUUCACAUGAAAAAAAAUUAUCAUUUAUGUAUUAAAUUUUGAAAUUACUUUUGAACACACACAACUAUGCGAAAAAACAUGUAUUUAGAUUUAAAUCCUGAAAAUCUAUGAAAAUUACAGCGUUCUGCGGAACCCUACUGGUUCUAUGAUUCUAUUUUAAGUAUUUGUUCUCUUUUGAGGCUAGCGCGACUCUAUAAAAAUAACAUUUAGUAAUAGAUUUUAGUAUAUAUAUAAUAAAUUAUAAUUCAAAUUAAAUUGAGAUUCUUUAAAAUGUUCUGAGAUUCUUUAAAAUGUACGCUCAAAUAUCAAAGAAUGGAUAUAGUAGAAAUUUUAAAUAUUUAUUUAUAAAAUUGACAUAAAACAUCUAUUUUAAGUAAUUGAAAGAAUAUUAACACGGUGAACUAUAUUUAAGUUUUUUUUAAAGAAUCUCAAAAUUUUAUUAUUGAAAAAUAAUACUAACUUAAUUUAUAUUUAAAGAGCACUUUAUAGAAUUCCUAAGAAGAAAACAUAUAAGUUUGCUAUAAUAGAUUUCGCAAGUUAAUUCUGUAACUAAAUACUUAUACAAUAUUUUGAAGAAUAGUAAUUAGAAAACUAAAUAUUUAUACAAUAUUGAAAAGAAAUAUUUCAUGGAUAAUAAAGUACUGAUUUAUUAAACGUGAUAUUUACACAAUAUUUGAAAGAAUCUCUGAUGAAAUAAAUAUUUUCAUCAUGGUCAAUCUUUUGAAAAUUUGAAAUUCAAAGUUAAUAUACAUUGAAUGUUCUCGUUGAUUGAUUAAGACUUGGAGAAUAUAAAUAAGGAAAUCAAUUGAUUACAUAUCUUAUUAUUUAUGUUAAUCGAAUCAUUGGUCAUAAAUGAAUAUUUGCCCAAAAGAUAUUUUUUAUUGAUAUCCGAUUAUACCCUUUACUAAAUCAUUGAUAAAUAUAUUCACUAAAUCUUCUAAUUAUAAUAGCCAUUGGAUUAAAAAGACUGAUCUACGGUAGAUAGGCUAGUUCCCUCGGUUCUCUCGANAUAUAUAUAUAUGAUUUGUGGCAUUUAAAGCUUUUUUUGACCAUGAGAAACUUAAAGUCUCAUGAACACGACAUAAUGCAUAUAUAUAUAUAUAUAUAUAUAUGAUGCAUCUCAUUGUGUUAAUCUUCUGGGCUCUGCAGAACUGAACAAAAAAUCUUGUAAUUAAUGCUUAAAACCCCAAGAAAACAUAAUGUGUGAAAAGGAACUUAAUUUGCAGCAUACUUCUAAGGAAUCCCAUGUCUGCAUCGACAUUUACGAUGAUGUUGGAAUUGGUGGUGGUGCUUCUGGAGUUUCUGGAGGACUCCUGCACCCGUAUUCGCCUAAAGGUUUUUCAAUUUCUCCUACAAUUAUGAAAAAAGAAAAAAAAAUGCUUAGAUGGAAGACAUUUUGUUUACUAGCAUCUGUGUAUAGUUUAAGAUGAAUAUUAAGUUGGGGUGCGUUUAUAAGUCUAGUUCUUGACAGUUAAACCUCUUUGGCGGAGCAUGGAGUGUUGGGAAGAAAGCUUGAAGCUUUUAAGCAUUGCUGAAGCGGCGGUGGAACCUAAUAAGUUGAAUGGUGGAAGUCAAGGAUUGGGUGGUCAUGAUUCGGACGAUUUCAUAGUCAGGAGAAGGUUUUCUUUUGACAUAUGUUUCGUACUUUGUAGGAUUCUGUUGUCUGAUAUUAGGAACAAGUAUUCUUUGAGCUAUGUUCUUUUUCCAUUGUGCGCUUAUACUAGUGAUGUGAUUGCCAUAUCUGUGAUUAAUCCGAACACUAAUUAUGUGUUGCAUGAAUAAUAUUUUCAUGUAUACAAAGUGAGCCAUAUAAAAAUCAACAACAUCAAACAUGUUCGAUAAAGAAAACAAAUAUUAUAAAAAAUAAUCAACAAAUAUGUCUCAAUAACAGUUAAUUUAUUGACCUUUUCAUCCAUCAAUGUCAUAUACAGACUAUAUUCUCCACUGUUUCGAUUUGUCGACUCCCACAUCCGACAAACUCUUACUCUUGUUAGCCAAUCAUCUUUAUCGCCAUUCAAAGCAUCUUUAUCGUCAUUCAAAGCAUCUUUAUCGCCAUUCAAACAUCUAGCAUAGUGUAAUCGAAGACAAAUAAGCUCAAAAAAAAUUGUGUGUAUUAAAUUUUAUGAUGUCUAACCUGAAUGAAUUUAUUGGGGCUGAUUUGAGAAAAGGACCGGCUUAUCAAAAAUUCUUUUGGUUUUUGAUAUACACAAUUUCUAAAAAUAUGAUGAUAGUUUCAAUUUCUAAUUUGAUCUUGAUAUUUUGAAAAAGGCAGUUUUGAAACUUUCUUCCAAUAUAUUCGAAACUAAAAAAGGUAAUUUUUAAUUUUGAUAUUUUUUUCAUCCAAAAAUUCCAAAAAAUUAGAAAAUAUCAAAAAUUCUUUUGGUUUUUGAUAUACAACUUUUCCAAAAAUAUGAUGAUAGUUUCAAACUCUGAUUUGAUUUUGAUAUUUUGAAAAAAGUAAUUCUGAAACUUUUUUCCAAUAUAUCCGAAACUAAAAAAGGUAAUUUUUAAUUUUGAUAUUUUUUUCAUCCGAAAAUUCCAGAAAAUUAGAAAAUAUCAAAAAUCCUUUUGUUUCUGAUAUACACCUUUUCCAAAAAUAUGACGAUAGUUUCAAAUUCUGAUUUGAUUUUGAUAUUUUGAAAAAAAGGCAAUUUUUAUUUUUUAUAUUUUUUCAUUUAAAAAUUCUAGAAAAUUAGAAAAAUAGAACAGAGCUCUCUGAGAGGCGCCACCUAAACGCCCCAUGCUUCUCCUUUAUAUAAGUAUAUUGAAUUGAUUUAAUAUUAAUAUUUGUAUAAUAAAAUAAUUUUGUGGCUGUCUAUAAAAAGUAUAUUGAUAGUUCAAAAUUAAUAUUUGUAAGAUAAAAUAAAUUUUAUAUUAUAAAAAUCUUGAUGUAAUACCAUUAAUAAUAUAUAAAAUUGCAAAAUUGGACUAUAAUUCAUGGUGAAAAAACGAAAGACUUAAUUAACAAAAAAACUAUAUAACUAUCGUGUUUUUUUCAAUUUAAUCAUAAUAGUAUAUUUGUUGCAGGAUAAUGCAAGUAACUUUAAAAAAUUUUAUUUUAAAAACCCAAUCUGACUAGUUCAUAACCAUAGUUAAAUUAAAAUUAAGAUGGGUGCCACAUAUAUUAUCAAGUUAUUAAUUAAAUUAUUUGGUACAUGAGUUUUAUUAAUACUUUUGUCAUCUCAUUAAGGGUCAAAAUCCUAAUUCACAAUCUACACAAACACAGAGCAUACUAAAACUUAUGUUCGAAGGCGACGAUGUUAGUGUGAUUAUUUGAAACCACCGUCUAUCAGGUACAAUUAUCGAUUAUUUUUCAUGCUAUUUAUAUUUUUUUAUAUUGAAUUGAUAAUUUUAUUUAAGAAAAAAUAGAUUUUUUCGCCACCAAACUUAUUAUGUAAUUAGAAAUUUAGCACAAAACUAUGAUUUUUUUUGUCACUGAUGUUAGGUUCGGAUUUUUUUUUGUCACUGAUGUUAGAUUCGGAUAUGAUUAUUAACACUAUAUUAUUCUUUUUAGCAUUAUUAAAAUAUUGUGGUAGUUUGCAAUAUUUUGGUGAUCUGAUAAUGAGAGUUUGACGCACUUCUAAAAAAUUUAAUUUCAUAAAUUAUUUUAUUAUUUUUUUUAAAUAAAAAUUUAUCAUUUGAAUAUUUAUACACAAAAAAAAAUGUAAAUAUAGCUGAAUUUUUAUGUAUGCAUAAUAAAUUGUGUAAAAUUUUAAAAUUAAAUUAAAAAAAUUGAUGUCUUGUGCUGCAUGUGACAUUCAAGUUAGCUAUGAACUAACCAUGGUUAGAGAUUCAUUAAAAUCGGGUUAUGUCAAAUUGAUUUUGUAUUACUUAGUUGCAUUAUUCUGCAACAAAAACAGUUUUAUGGUUAAAAUGAAAAAAUCACAUAAGUUUAAUAGUUUUUUUGGUAAUUAGGUCAAAACGAAAAUAAAUUUAUACACGUAAUUAACAAUUUAAAGUGUACAACGAAUCUUAAUUUUAUUUAUUUUUUUUUUUUGAAAAGUAAUCACGUUCUUACAUUAGCACUUUCCUCCAAUUUUUUUGGAUUGAUUGUGCACAAAAACAUCUAACUUAAAUCCGUGAGAUAAUGGUCUAUAACUAAGUUUGCUUGUAACAGCCUUUAUUUUUUAAUACUGUAUAAACAGUCUUCACUUAAAAGUUGUUUAAACGGAGCAAACAAAUAAUGAAUGAAUAAUUUUUUCUUGUAUACAAAGUAAAUCAUAUAAAAAUUAACAAAAAACAUGUCCAAUGACCGAAACAAAUAUUAUAAAAGAAUAACCAACAAACAUAUAUCAUUAACGAUUAAUUUAUUGAUAUCAUCCAUCAAUACCAUGUCAACACUAUAUUCUUCUUUUCCCAUGUUUGGAUUUGUCGACUCCCGCAUAGCGGUCUAUAACUACCUUUGCUGGCAACAACCUUUAUUUUUUUAAUACUGUAUAAACAGCCUUCACUUAUCGUUGCAAAAGAACGACACCACCGAGUUAGGAAUCGAGCAAAAGAACUCUCCUCACAUAGAGGUAGGGUUGUGGUAUUGAGAGAGGAGAUUGUGUUUAGAUUAUCCAAAACCCUACAAUCUAUAGGGGUAUUUAUAGGUGCAGAGAGACUUGUGUGCUACUCUAUCCCAUAAUUAAAUAAUCUGAAACAAAAUCAGAUUAAAAUUUUCAAGCUACUAUAUUCUAUAAAUUAUCUGAAACCUACAAUCUAUAGGGGUAUUUAUAGGUGCAGAGAGACUUGUGUGCUACUCUAUCCCAUAAUUAAAUAAUCUGAAACAAAAUCAGAUUAAAAUUUUCAAGCUACUAUAUUCUAUAAAUUAUCUGAAACAAAAUCAGAUUCUGAAACUUGCUUCUAAUAUACCCAAAACUAAAAAGGAUAGUUCUAAUUUUUGAUAUUUUUAAUCCAAAAAUUCCAAAAAAUUAGAAAAAUAGAACGGAGCGAUGUGAGAGGGGCCACAUACACGCCCCUCGCUUCUCAUUUAUAUAAGUAUAUUGAUUGAGUGGUUCACAAAUUUUAUUAAGAAAUUAGUAGUUUGUUUGAGACCUUAUCGAUGGUAAUUGUAUUUAGUUACACUUUAUAUGCUAUUUAUUUUAUAAUUUUCCUUGUUGGUCAUCUUCUCUUUGUUUCCUUGCAAUCAUAAGACAAUAAACAAAGUUGGCAACGGAGGGAAACACCGUCCAAUGCUAAAAAAGCGUUGUACGUAGAAAAAAUGAAUUUUUCCCGUUCAGCCCUGAAAAAUGUUUGACCUACUAAAAUUUUGUUUUAAUCCCGACCACUGAAUAUUCAUCAAACGAUCAGGUUCACUGGAUAUCAACAUAACAUAUAUGCUAGGGACCUGAACCCUAAUAAUAAUAAUUCAUAACCAGUAAGCCAACAUCCACCAGGCUAAUCCGUACGGUACAAAAAAUCAGGGCAGUUAGAAAUAAGUCAAAACUUAUAAAAAAGAUUAUUAUUAUAUUUUUAAAUUUUUUUUUUCUGAUUUUUAUAUUUUUAUAUAUAAAUAUAGUUUUAUAUUUUUAUAUAUACAGAAAGGAUAUUAUUUAUUUUGUAUUAAUUACAUGAUGACGUCGUGCCUGAUGAAUUUUUGAAACUUCUUUGCUUAUUUCAAAAACAUUUUUUUAGGAAUCGACAAUACUGAACUAGAGCAUAUUAAAUAUUGACUGUUUAGUAACUAUUCUCUCUUCCCAUCAAUUCUUUAUAUAUAUAUAUAUAUCAGAGAUAGAUAUAACAUGCACAUAAUUAGUUAGAGGGUAUUUGAUCCUUUACAAUCACAAGCAAAUAACUAAUAUAUAUCAAUUUGCAAACAUUUUUGGCCGACUUGUGGUGGUUGGUGAGUCUGAUAUUCAUCCAGCAAAAUAUCAAAGCUAGUUGUGUUCUUGAGAUGUUAUAAUAGAUGUCUCGAUUUGUAACAUAUAAUUCCAUAAAUUAUUUUAAUCUUUUUAUUAUAAAUAAAAGUUUAUGUAAAUUUUAGAUAUGAAAUUAUAGUUUAUGUAAAUUUUAUAAUACGUAAAACAUGAUAAAAUUGUAAAUAAAUAAGACGAAUACAAAGGAUUAGGACCCACGGUUGACGCUGAUGUGUACACAUCAGCCAGUUACACAAGUCUCCACACGUGUAAAUAUGCGUUGUGUUCAUAAACAAUUAAAAAUACUCCUUCCUUAGCUACUCUUUUAUAAAUUUUUCUAACUGAGACGUAUUUUAAAAAUUAUAUGUAAAAUAUAAUUUUAUAAAUUAUUUUUGAAUUUUUAUAUAAAUAUUUUUUUAUUUAAAUAUAAAAAUUUUAUCAAAAAUAAUUUAUAAAGUUAUAUUUUUCAGAAUCUUGAAUGCGUGUAAGCAACGGUCACUCCCAAAAUAAAGAGUAUACAUGUACCAAGGCCCUCGUGUUAUACUUAUACAGUUAUACUUGUUCUGUUGUCACAUUCCUUGUUUUCCUGUCCACUCCACUCUCGAGUCAACCCAAGUCAAACCCUCUUUCCGUUUAAUCGCCGACAUGGCUUCCGGCGAUUCAGACUCCAAUACGUUGUCCGUUGUGUCGAUUGAUGAAGAGGGUCAUCACGGUUCUGAUGAAAAAAACCCCACACUCAUUGCUAGACAGUACGCGUUUUCUUUCUUUCUUUGUUUUUUUUUCUUCAAUUUAUUUAUGUUUUUGUGAUUGGAUUAUGUUUAUCUGUUUAUAAAUUUAUGAGUAAUCUUUGUUGAUUGUGUAUCUGUUGUUGUAGAUAUUGAGUUUAUAUAUGGUAGACAGAUUUAUUUGAUGGUUUCUUUUUGUGGUUGGGUGGAGAUUUCUUCAAGAAAUUGUUUAUGUUUUUGUUUUGCCCUUUUUGAUGGAGUAUUAAUAAAUGAUGAUUUUGUGUUCUUGAAUCAUUUGCAAUUCUCGUGGGGUUUAAAAAAAAAAAUUAAGGGCUGGUUUUAUUUUUUAGCGCAGACUUAUUUAAUUAUAUUAUUUCUUUGCUGUUGUUCUUGGAACGUUGAAUCGAAGAAAUCUAGAGAUAUUAUACAGAUGCUCAUUCUUAUGGGUGUCGGCACUCAAUGCCACAAUUUUCAAGAAAAUGGCCCCCAUUACUACUGUCGAAUAAGAUGGCCCCGGCCUACCAUUUUGCAAUCCAAAAUGCUAAUUCGUGCAGCGUUUAUCCUCUUUCCUUUCUUAACGCUACACAAUCUAACAUUUUGAAACCCUAACGCUAUUUCAUGUGGUGUUUUACUCCUAAAACGCCAGAUCGUGUUACGUUUUGUAGUGUUUUUCAGACCAAAACGCUACAUGAUCUAAUGUUCUCUUCCAAAAUUCGAAACGUUGGUCGCUGGAUAGCUAAUAUAGCUAAUAACCGCCCGUGCUUCGCACGGGUUAAAGGCUAGUAUAGCUAAUAAGACAAGAUGGACAGGCGUAUAUUCUCUUGAACCGUUGUCUUACCAUUUUAAUCAUCUUUUCGUGACAAGUUUCUAAAAAACAACCUAAACAACUUUAUACUUUCCAAGGCUGCAGUUCUUAAAUGAUGACAUUUUAAUUAUUGCGUGCUUUGUUAUCUAUGAACGCAAGGUAAAAGGAAUGUAAUUUCACAUCUCUCAGGUAUCAGACGAAGCUCUGCCAGAAAGCUUUGAGUGAAAACACAAUAGCCUAUCUGGGAACUGGUUGUGGGAAGACUCACAUUGCUGUUCUUUUAAUUCAUGAGAUGCGACACUUGAUAAAAAAACCCCAGAAUAACAUUUGUGUCUUUUUAGCUCCUACAGUUGCUCUGGUUGAGCAGGUAACACAUUCCUCUUUCUGUCAUCUUUAAAUAUAUAUCUUUUCUUAUUUAUCAACCAAAGCUUGAUUUCACAUUAGUAAACUCUGUAUUUAGAACUCUUUCUGUUUAAACACACCCUUACCUGCUGCUUGAAUUAAUUGUCAUUUCAUGGCAUGACAUGUAUUUAAAUAUGUUAAGCAAGCCAAAGUCAUCAAAGACUCGAUUGACGUUAAAGUUGGCAUCUACUGUGGGAGUUCUAAGCAUCUGAAGCGUCAUACCAAUUGGGAGAAAGAAUUAGCACAGCAUGAGGUUUGCUUUGCUUCUAUUUGGGCACAAUUGGAUUGUCCCAUUUGUCAUUACAAAGUUCCUUUGGAAGUACUCAACAACACGAUUCUUAGUUAAUGUUGUUAGUAGUUUUGGCCAAUGCAGAUAUUCAAAUAAAUUGCUUAACCUGUGGUCAUGCUUGUGCAGGUUCUUGUCAUGACCCCUCAAGUACUCUUACAGAAUUUAUCACACUGCUUCAUCAGGAUUGAAUUGAUCGCGCUUCUAAUUUUUGACGAGUGCCAUCAUGCACAAGCUGUGAGCAAUCAUCCUUAUGCUGAAAUCAUGAAGGUAAGAAAGUUUUAUCUCAUGAUGUUAUCGCUUCAGCACCUCAUGCAUUUGACUAAUAUCUAUACACUUACUUACUUUUAUGCCAAUAUGCAGGUAUUUUACAAUAGUAAUGCAACAAAGCUUCCUCGUGUAUUUGGCAUGACCGCAUCUCCAAUAUUGGGAAAAGGUAACCUAAUUAACCUCAAUAUUUUUGUAUGCUAGGUUGAGGGGCCGCCUAUUUCAUAUGUUUUAUGGUCAGUGAUUAUGUAAUUUCGUACUCAUAUGCUUCCAGGGGCCUUGGAGGAAAAUUAUGUGAUACUAAAUGAUGUUGCUUGAUAUUUAGUCUUAUUAACAUUAAUAUGUUCAAGUCUGUCAAGUGUUUAUUUGUCGAGUAAUGAAGGAGUUGUCAAACCUUUUGUGUACCAGUCAGGGACGGGCAGGCUAGAACAGUCUGCUUAGAGAUUAAGUUUUUGAUAUAUUAACCAUUACACCUUUGUUGAUAGAGACACAUCAGCAAAUUGUGGAACAUAAUUUACCGAAAUUCUGAAGGUGAUGCCAACCAAGAGCAUGUGUGAUUGUAUCUAUUACGUAGUAUAUAUGUCAGUCAAGCAUGACAGUGUUAUGGAAUUUUAAUAGCCACUACCCAACAUUUAUAUCGUUGACAAGUAUAACAUAUUUUGAUAGAUCACAUAAACCAUAAUUUAUUAUUUGUUGAUAAUCAAAGUGUCGUCGUUGGUGGGAUCGUAUUAAUAUGGGUCAUCCAGGUGAAAGGUGUACCACUACACUAGAACUACAUGUUUCUUGAGUUUUACAUGUUGAGUGAUAAUUCUAUUGUUCCAAAAGAGGGCCUUUAACAAAUUUUGUUCAUGUACCUCUCCAAUUUCAUCUUUCUUUCUAUGCCGUGAUGGUAAUUUAGUUACAAGNNNNNNNNNNNNNNNNNNNNNNNNNNNNNNNNNNNNNNNNNNNNNNNNNNNNNNNNNNNNNNNNNNNNNNNNNNNNNNNNNNNNNNNNNNNNNNNNNNNNNNNNNNNNNNNNNNNNNNNNNNNNNNNNNNNNNNNNNNNNNNNNNNNNNNNNNNNNNNNNNNNNNNNNNNNNNNNNNNNNNNNNNNNNNNNNNNNNNNNNNNNNNNNNNNNNNNNNNNNNNNNNNNNNNNNNNNNNNNNNNNNNNNNNNNNNNNNNNNNNNNNNNNNNNNNNNNNNNNNNNNNNNNNNNNNNNNNNNNNNNNNNNNNNNNNNNNNNNNNNNNNNNNNNNNNNNNNNNNNNNNNNNNNNNNNNNNNNNNNNNNNNNNNNNNNNNNNNNNNNNNNNNNNNAUAUAUGUUGGUUGCGAACUGUAUGUCGUUGGUCUAUUGUAUCUUAAUUAAAUUGCCUGAUAAUGUUUCAGGUGCUUCUGUCAGUGGCCUUGAGUCUUUACUUCGUGCUAAGGUUAGUGUAUGUCGAAUAUCGAGAUGGGUUAGAAUUUAUGUAAUUAUUUGGCUUUUUACUUCACUAAGUAAAUAUAUAUCAAGUAUGGUAUGUGUUUUAUAUGUCUAGAUUUUUAGUGUAUGCUAAAUCUGUUUAAUAGGUUUAUUCUGUUGAAGACAAGGAAGAACUUGAACGGUUUGUGACAUCUCCUAAAGUUAGUGUAUAUUAUUACACUACAGCGGCGGAUGGACCAUCUUCCCCUCUAGUUUACUAUAGUAAACUAGAGGGGAUAAAGUCCCAGGUACGUAUUAGCAAUUUUCCUAAUUUCUUUAGUGAACCAGAAGGGAUUAAAUCCCAGGAAGUUAUUAGCAAUCUAUUUAAUUUUGUGAAUGUAAUUUUUUUGCAAUUUUUUUUUGUUAUGAAUUAUCAUAUUUUCUUUGCGUGCACUCAAUUGCAGUGUGUAUCAACACUGGUAGAAAAUAUAAGCGACAUGGAUAGCCUAAAAACCUCCAAAAAGAUGCUUCAGAAACUGCACACUAAUUUGUGUUUCUGUGUAGAGAAACUUGGUGUUUGGGGAGCAUUCCAGGUAAACUAUCUCAUUAUUAUAUUUACUGCUGCUUUUGCAACUUAAAUUACUGUUACAAAAGGCAGGUAAAAGUGAAUCUAUUUUCUGGGUCAUUGCAUUGUUCUGUUAUAUUAUGUUGUGAGUUAAGCUUUGAAGCUACAAAAAAUUGGCUUGGCAUUGAUUUUUUUGAAUACUAGUAUUUGAGAGCCUAAAAGUCAGACAGUGCUAUGUAGAGUCAUCCGGACCUUACAAAGGGAUAUAUUGCAUAUAAGGCUAUAUAUCAAGUUGUGUGUGAAAGUUAUUAUAAAUUUAACAAAUUAUAAAUUAUUUGAGCUUCGAACUAAUCCCAGAUGCACACCAAUACGACACACACAUACGAACAAACUGUUCCCUAUCUGGAUUACAUUGCAAACUGGAUAAAAAAUAAAUCUCAUAUUUCUUCUUUAAGAAAGAAGUCUCAAAAAAAAAAAAAAAAUUGUACAUACUAAUGUCUUGUACUCUCAUUUCGAUAUAUAUGUAUAUAGAUACAUACUGAGAGAACUCAGGAUAAGUCUGAAAAUGUUCGUAUAUGCUCCUUUUUAAUAAUAUACCUACAUAAUUUUUAUGCAAGUUACAUUAAUAAUAUAGUUUUAAUCUAUGAAUCAUUUCAUACAAACUUUGUGUAUUAUAUAUAGUCUUUUUGAAUAGAAGUUACAGUUUGAACUUUAUAGAAUUUUCAAUGCAUGUUUUCUGAUUAAGACUGACUCCUGUUUUUUAUUUGGCUUCUAAUCAUGCAAAGGCUGCUCACAUACUCUUAAAGGGUGACUUCGUGGUGCAAAAUGAACUACUGGAGAUGGAAGGACAAAAUGAACGGAUGGAGAUGGGAGAACAGAGCUCUCAUGUCUCUAUAUGCGACAAAUAUCUUUCUCAAGCUGCCAUUAUGUUUUCGUCAGAUUGCCAAAAAGGUACAGGGAUGCCUUGAAAGUUUGUUCACUAUUAUGUGGUUUUAUUUAUGUAUAUUUUCUAUGUUCAUGCGAAUAUGACACUAAUAUCUAUCACCUUUUGACAACAUUUAUCUUCCAUGCGCAUGCCUGCAGAUCACACCAAAAAGAAGUUAAAUUCACCUGAAGUCCUACAGGAGCCCUUUUUCUCCAAAAAGCUCUUGCAACUUAUUGACAUACUUUCCAAUUUUAGGUUAGUAAUAUGCUGCUCACUGUCUCAUCACUGUAAUCAUUGGCACAUAAACUUAUCGACAUCCUUUACAAUGUUAGGUUAGUAAUUCAGCUUCCAGCUGAUGUUUUGUCAGGAAUGGCCUAUCUUAGUUGUAGUACUUGCUAAUAGUAGUUAUGAGGAUUAGUAAGCAAUAUACCGUUAGGGUAUUACUAUAUACUGGUCAAUAUCAGCAGAGAGUACACUUUAGUAAGGGUUGUAGUGUCAUUUCAUUACUAGAAUUUAGUUACAGUUGAAGUUUGCCUAUAAAUACUUGAUAAGCUUUGUAUUUCCAGUUAUGAUAAGGUUGAUAUAGAACACGAUAUCUAUUUCCACAAACUGCUUCUCUCUCUAUAACUACUCUCUCACUCUAAAACCGUAGCUUUGUCUGCAUCUCUCUAGAAUUCUCUCAAUUCUAUCUGUUAUCUUGCUAAUCUUUAGUAGUAAACAGUACACCGUUUUUCUUGUUUUUUUUACAAUCCGAGCCUAUAAACACAGAAAAUUACAAAAUCAUUCACAAAAUCAGAAAACUCGAAGGGAAUUCCUGACAUUUUGUCAGAGCUCCAGCUUAUGUGCUAGCUCACAUAUCGCUAAUAAAGCAUACAUUAUCAUUUGAUACAAGCAUGUUUUUUAAAACUAUAUCCUUUCAUUUUUCCGCCUAAUUAACAUGUUUGAUCAAUCUCUCUCCCUGGUUUGACAGGUCCCAGCAGAACAUGAAAUGUAUUAUUUUUGUCAAUAGAAUUGUUACUGCCAGGUCCUUGUCAUCUAUACUUCAGAGCCUUAAAGUUCUAUCAGCUUGGAAAUGUGAUUAUUUGGUAGGAGUCCACUCUGGACUAAAAAGCGUGUCGCGAAAAUCUACUAAUGCUUUGCUUGCUAAAUUUCAAUCCGGUGAGGUAAUGUUCACAUACAUGAGUCGGUAAUUCAGGAAAUUACAGAAGUUCUUUUGAUCGAUUGUGUAGCUAAAUGAUAUUAAAUCCAAAUGUGGUUCUGCACGAAUUUUUAUUCAAUAAUUUGUUCUCGUUUCACAAAGUGUGCUUGAUAAUUUUUCUAUCAUGUGCUUUCUUGUUAUCUGAGGUAUAUAUAGUAUCUUCGAAUAGCAAAUACAUGUCACAUUAUUAAAACGUGAUGUUACACAGUAAUAGAAAACAAAAAAUUACGGAUUAAAGAAUAAACAGAUAAACUUGAAUCAAUUCUCCAUAUAAAAUUUACUAUAGUUGUAAAUAAUCAAGGAAAAGAUCUGUUUAUAACUGUGUUACUAUAACCUAAGUAUAAAAUUGCUAAUAAUCUACUUACUAAACAAUAACUAAACUUUAUAAUAAUAAUAUUUGGGUGAUUAACAUUAUGAUCAUCUCAAUCUCUCUUUAUUUAGAAUCGAAAUGCUCUUGAUAAAUUUACAGUAUAAUUUAUUCAUGUGUGUGUUAGAGAUGGCUUUACUCAUCCCAAACGAAGUGUGUGUAUUAACUUCCCUAUUUCCUGGCAGAUAAAUUUGUUGGUUGCAACUAAAGUUGGGGAGGAAGGUCUUGAUAUUCAAACAUGCUGCCUUGUAGUAAGGUUCGAUCUCCCGGAAACUGUUGCCAGUUUUAUACAAUCUAGGGGACGUGCACGCAUGCCUCAGUCAGAAUAUGCAUUCCUGGUAGACAGGUACUACUUGAAACAUUUGUAUAUAACUCCUCAAUUCAUUCCUGCUCACCCCAAAAAUUAUAAUAAUUGUGCCCUACUGUAUGUCAUAGUGGCAAUGAGAAGGAGCAAAAUCUUAUCGACAGUUUUUCUAAAGCUGAGGAUAAAAUGAAUGAAGAAAUUGAAUUUAGAACAUCUACUGCCACAGUUUGUGAUACAGACGAGAAAACAUACAGAGUAGAAUUGACGGGUGCCACAAUCAGUUCUGGAAGUAGCAUUUCAUUGCUUUACCGCUAUUGUUCGAAACUUCCGCAUGAUGAGUACGGAUUUUUGUUGUUCUGAUUGGUUCUUUUGUUUCUCUGCUGUAUCAUAUAUAUUUAGGAUAAUUAGCACUUUGAUCUGGCAAACAUUAGUUACUUUUUUCUAAUUCGUGCAGAUUUUUUAAGCCCAAGCCAGAUUUCUCAUACUUUGACGAGGCAGAUGGAACUGUCUGCCAAAUAGUUCUUCCCUCCAAUGCUCCAAUUCAUCAAGUGUCAAGUGCACCUCAAUCUUCUAAGGAUGCAGCGAAAAGAGAUGCCUGCUUGGAAGCAUGUAAACAAUUACAUCAGUUGGGUGCUUUAACCAACUACCUCUUACCUGAACAAGAUGUUGAAAAUGAGGACCUUGAGUCCUUAUCAGAUUCUGACUGCUCUGAUGGUAAGCACAUGCAGAUAUAUAUAAAUCAAUGCUGGCUGAUUAUUAUACUUAUACUGCAGCUUUGGGCUUCUUUUUAUUUGCAGAUGAGGAUACAAGAAGAGAACUUCAUGAAAUGCUUGUUCCUGAUGUCCUGAAAGAGCCAUGGAGCAAGGCAGAAGAUUAUGUCUACCUCACCUCCUACUUUGUGAAGUUUAGACCGCUUCCACCAGAUAGGGAGUAUAAACCAUUUGGUCUGUAUGUGAAAGUAUCUCUUCCUGGAGAAGCUGAAAGAAUGAAACUAGAUCUUCAUUUGGCACGUGGUAGAUCUGUAGUAACAGAGCUAAUACCAUCCAGUACUAUGCUAUUUAGUAGAGAUGAGGUAAGCAAAAAUGGGUUAAAAGAAUUGAACCUUUAAAUAAACCUAAAAUGAGACCAGAGGUCACCCGAAGUCAGGAAAGAGCUUUUAAAUGAUGAUAUUGACACCAAAUUGUACAUUAUCAAAUGACUUUAAAGACAUUGUCACGAGGGUGAUGGGAUAGCCUAGUGGUAUAGGCUUAUCCUCUGUCCACAUGUCCAUCUUAGUUCCUUGGUUCGAUUCGCCUAUAUUCUUGUAGGACACGGUGAAGAUAAAAUAGAUAAAUUUGAGGACUUUUGUCUAUAAAAAACAAAUCAUUUGAAAACUAAUUUGCAUCAGUACUUGAGAAAAAAAUUAUUAAAUAAAUUUUGUAAUAUUCACUCUAAAUUUUGCAGAUAGCUUUGGCUGAGAAGUUCCAGGAAAUGUUCCUCAAGGUCAUCAUUGACAGAUCAGAGUUCAACUCUGAAUAUGUUCCCUUGGGAAGAAUUGAUUUUGAUAUAUUGGCUCCUAGAACAUAUUACCUUAUGCUUCCUGUAAUCUGGAAUGAAUAUGAGGAAGCAAUGAUUGUGGACUGGAACCUUGUCAUGAGAUGUUUAUCGUCGCCGAUAUUCAACAUGCCAGAAGUUGCCAAGGCUAAUGGCCUUUCUCAACCUAGCGAGCUAUUGCAUCUUGCUAAUGGCCCUAAAAGUGUCCAUGAUGUUGUGAAUAGCUUGAUUUAUGUUCCAAGCAAGAAAUUGUUCUAUUUCGUUUCUGAUGUUUUGUCAGAGAAGAAUGCAUACAGUGACUAUAAAGCAUCAAAAAGUCACGUUCACCACUUCUCUGAAAAGUAAGUGGCGUGCAGUGCCUUCUUCUCUUUUGGACCAUUCUUUUAUAGUAUCUUCUUGAGUUAAUUCCUUAAAUGAUUGUUGUAUCACUACAUAAUGAGAUGGGGCCAAAAAUAAUUUGAUUUUACAGAUAGUAUUUUCUCUUUUGCAUACUUGGCGUGAAUUGAUAUUGUCUGGCAUAACUUGAAUCUUUAGUUUUGUUUAAAAGAUUGGGAGAGGACUAUUUUCUUUCUUUAGUUGGUUCAAAACUUUUUAAGUAUUUGGUGUGCAUUUAACAUUGUUGUAUUCAGUCUUAAGUAUGCUUUUUGUAGUCCAUGUGUCAUACUCCGUAGAUUUCUCAUUUUGAUAUUAUUUAUUAUUGCCGUGGAAAUUAAUCCUGAAUAGGCUUCUCCUUACAGUUACUUUCUAGCAUGCAUAUAGUACUUUUUGAUUCAAUUACUAGUUAGUAUCACCAUUGCUGUACUAUAUUACUGACCUCCUGGCUCCUGGUUUUUUUUUAAUAUAUAUUUUAAUAUAUAGGUUUGGCGUUCAUCUUUUACAUCCCAGACAAGCUCUUUUAAAAGCAAAGCAGCUCUUUUGUUUGGAGAACUUGCUACGAAAGAAAGGAAAUUUGGGUAUGUGUUUAGUUGUUGGGUUGUUUCUGCAAUUAUCCUGUUAGUUACAGGACUUGUAACUUUCUCCUGACACAAUAUUGUACAUAAAAUUUUUAUAAAAUAUUUUCGCAAUAUUUUGUUUUGGAUUACUGAUGCGAAUAUUAGAAUAAGCUUAUAUAAAAAUAAUGCACAAUAUUGUAGUUCAGGAUUUCUGAUGCCAAUAUUGAAAAUUAUUGUUAAUGGUCGUGUUCUGUUGUAAUGUGCUACAUUACUUUGGGUGCAGAAUAUAUUUACAUCGUUGUCUCAUCGUUAAAUUGCUGGAAAGUAAUAGUCAAGAAAUUUAUUUGCCGUAGGUUAUGUUUUGUUUAAUGGGAUUAAUAAUUCCAAAUCCCCAGGCUAUUAGACCUUUUUCUUUUUGCAGUUGAUCAUGUGGACUACUGACUACAGUUUAUAACCACUUAGUUCAUUUGAUUAUACUAAUAACACCGAUUAGUAUAUAAACCCCUAGUUAUAAUCCCUACGGAGAGAAAGUGAGAAUCAGCUGUAGAGAGGGAGGGGGAAGGGAAUUGGUGGAAAUCAUUCCAUUUCAUAUAUUUAACGUAACUGGAAAUACAAAGCUUAUCAAGUAUAUAUAGGCAAACCUCAACUGUAACUAACCUCUAUAAUGAAAUGACACUUCUACCGUUACUAAAGUGUACUACUGUGCUGAAAUUGAUAAGUAUAUAGUGAUACUCUACUGGUAUAUUGCUAAGUACUAAUCCUGAAAACUGCUACUAGCUAGUACUGCAACUAAGAUAGGCCUUUCCUGACAGACUUUUAAGGUUUGAGUAUGUGAAGCGAGAGUACAUAGUGGGACUAGAAUACAAGAGAUUAUUGUGGUACACAAAAGAUUGAAAAUGUAUGAACAUUGAGAAAUGAUCAGUUGAUUAAUAAUGAAAUGAAUGGAUUUUGUUUGCUGCCUUUUAAUUUACAGUAUCUGGCAUAAGUUUAAAGUGAUUACAAGUUAAGAUAUGCUCUACUAGAUCGCACUUGAUAUUAUGACAUGCAUGUUUUUUUUUUGCAAGGGACAACGUAAAUGUUUAUUAUUCUUUUGUUUUGUGUUAGUUUUUAUAUGUUGGUGUUGCCUUUAUUUUUUACUACACUUUACAUUACUAGAGUGUACACUGUGCUGAUUAGCAUCUCAUGCAGAAUCACGAGAAAAAGAGGAGCACUUUGUUGAAUUACCUCCUGAAAUUUGUGAACUAAAGAUAAUUGGGUUUUCGAAAGAUAUUGGAAGUUCAUUAUCUUUGUUACCAUCAGUCAUGCAUCGUCUGGAAAGCUUGCUUGUUGCUUUUGAGUUAAAAGAUUUACUUUCUGUCUCAUUUCCCGAGGGAGCUGAAGUAUCCGCUUCUCGUGUAAGGCGCCUUACUUUUUUAGCUCGGAUUUUGAUUUUUCAUGAAUACUAGUAUCUAAUUUUGCCGAAUGAAAUUGAAAUGUGGUAAAAAGAAUAACUUUUCAGCAUUUACAAUAUGUCUGUUUAUAUACAGGCCAAAGAUAUGCUUUUGUAUUUAACUCUAUAAUUAAUAAAUUUAAUAAGGUAAACAACCUAUUUCCUGGAACAGGCAAAGUCUCAAGACUUUAUAACUAAGAAGUUAUGGUUGUCAAUCCAUAAACAAGCUUUGAUAUUCUGAUGAUGAUUUCCAGGUCCUUGAAGCACUUACAACUGAGAAAUGCAAUGAACACUUCUCUCUUGAAAGGCUCGAAGUUCUUGGUGAUGCAUUCCUCAAAUUUGCAGUUGGCAGGCGUCUUUUUCUCUUGCAUGAUGCCUUGGAUGAAGGACAGCUUACUAGAAAACGUUCAAGUGUCGUAAAUAAUUCCAAUUUAUUGAAGCUAGCGGUAGCAAACAGAUUACAGGUAGCUUCUUGUCGCAUGUUUUGAUCUGAUGAUUCUGGUUAUACUUGUUUCGAAGAGUCGUCAGUUUCUCACAAUAGUAUUAUUGGACAUUAGUUUUUGUAAUAGCUAACAAGUUUUGUUAACGUUUACCAUGAUAAAUUUCAGGUAUACAUACGCGACCAAUCAUUUGACCCAUGUCAAUUUUUUGCAUUGGGUCGACCUUGUUCUGUAGUUUGUAGCGCUGAAACUGAAAAGAGUAUUCAUUCAUCACAUUGUAGUGGGGCGGAAAAUUCUGAUAUAGAAUUAAGAUGCACCAAAUCUCAUCACUGGUUGCAUAAGAAAACCAUAGCAGAUGUUGUGGAAUCUCUUGUCGGCGCAUUUAUAGUUGAUAGUGGCUUUAAAGGUGCAGCUGCAUUUCUUAAGUGGAUGGGUAUAAAAGUGGAAUUUGAAGAUUCGAAGGUUAGCCAUAUUUGUUCAGCAAGUUCGAUCUAUUUACCACUUGCUGCUCAAAUAGAUAUAGCUGCUCUUGAAGAUUCUAUAGGAUAUCAAUUUAACAAUAAAGGUUUGCUUGUGCAAGCUUUUGUCCAUCCAUCAUAUAGCUAUCAUUACGGAGGCUGUUAUCAGGUAUGUAACUUCUGUAAGAGGCCGUUUGGAAACUUGCAUUUCAUUUCAAAUGAUGGUUUUCAAAUGACAGGAUUUGAGUUGGCAUUUCAAAUUCUCAGAUUUAUACUAGUAUUUGGAUGUGUGGAUUUCAAAUGAAAUCGAAAUCCAGAUUGCCAAACAUGUUAUUUGACCAAAUCCAGAAUUUCAAAUCAAAUCCAGUUUCCCAAACAGGCCAUAAAUAAAUUUAAAUUUUUAAUAAAAAUUUUAAGUUAUGUAUCAGUACAGUUUAUUUAAUUUUUAACACAUUGCUGUUUAAACAGAGACUGGAAUUUUUAGGAGAUGCUGUCCUGGAUUAUCUUAUCACUUCCUAUCUCUAUUCAGUCUAUCCAAACCUGAAGCCUGGCCAGCUGACUGAUUUGAGAUCCACAUGUGUAAACAAUAUUUGCUUUGCUAACAUUGCAAUAAGUCGGUCAUUCUAUAAAUAUAUUAUAUCUGAGUCUAGUGGCCUCUGCAAGUCCAUGGAGAAAUAUGUCUUGUUUUCUAGGACACAUCAGCUUGAUGGAAAUUUGGUUGAAGUGCCCCCAUGCCCUAAAGUAAAUACUGUAGCUCCUUUCUCUUUUUCUCUAUAUAUAUAAAUAUUUCCCUCAUAAUCUUUAUUUUAUUUUUUGCCAUUUUUAAUGGUUGACACCAGUCUGCUUGUUUAAUUUUCUUUCUUCACCGUCCACUUUUUGUGUUGUAAUCAAAAAAUAAUUUAAAAGCAACUGCAAGAUUUUGGUGUUAGCUAUAGCAAGAGUCAUGCUUGUUUGGUUGUCUUUCCAGUGCCCAGGGAUUUUGAUAAAGUUGAUUAGUUGAGAAAAAUAAGGGAAGUGUAACUUCCAUGGAAGCAUUAAUACCCAUGAUAUGUGGGAAGUUGCCAUCCUUGUUUAACGGAAAUUCCCAUGAAAUGAAUUCCUCCAUCAACAUUCAACAACAAAACAAUUUUUCUCACUUCCUAGUAAUUUUAUAUACAGGGGAACUAGAACUUCCCGUUGGAAGUUGAUUCCCAGGUGCAGCCAAAUAACCACUAUCAAUAUGUGAAAUACUUUGUUCACAAAAUUUAAUCCGGUGAUAUGACUAAUGUGAAAAACAAAAAUUUAGUUGAUCAUGGAAUACCACAUGAAAUAUAUAGAAUUCACUUUUCCCCUGAAGGGAUAUGUGUGGUUUGUUUGUGCAUAUGUACAUGCACAGGUGCAAACGUGGGAUCAUAGAGCCUCAUAAAUUGCAGCACUUAAGUCGAUAAUAACUAGUAUAGUAUCUCUUACUCUAUGGAAGGGUUCUCUGAACUUAUGUGGUGGUAUUUAUUAUAGAAUGACAGAAAGUAAACUAUAUAUGCUUGUGCAUGUGUCAUGAAAAAAUAUUAGAAAGUAAACUUGAUUUCUCACUUGAAUGUGACUUAAGUUUUUUGUUCAGGCUCUUGGAGACUUGGUGGAGUCAUGCAUCGGUGCCAUUCUUCUGGACACGGGAUUCAAUUUAAACCAUGUUUGGAAGACCAUGCUUUCCUUUCUUGAUCCCGUCAUCAACUUUUCUGGAUUACAGCUUAAUCCCAUUAGAGAACUUCAAGAACUUAGUCAAUCCUACAACAUGGAAUUGGAAUUUGCAUCUUCCAAGAAGGAUAACACUUAUAUUGUUGAUGUAAAAGUGAAGGGGAAGAAUGUUUGUGAACAUUCUUGUGCUAGCAACAUCAGCAAAAAAGCUGCCAAAAGAAGGGCUGCGAAGCAAGUAAUUCGGAUUUUGAAGGUAAAAUUCAUGUAAAUCCAUUUUAAACUUUUUUAAAACUGACACUGUGCAGAUGUGUUGUUUUUGAUCUUUUUAAAAUUUCCGGGUUUUAAAAUGUUUCUACGAGAUAUACAUAUACCUGUUAACUAUAUAUUAAUAAAUCAUGAUUGUGGAGGCCGGGGAGUGGAAAAUGAUAUGCAUAUAUAUAUAUAUAGGCUAGUGAUCAAAUAGAAACUAAUAUUAUUCUAGAAACCACUCCUUCAAUCACUGUUUAUAACUACAUAUAUCACUUGUUUCUAUGCUUUUAAUCACUAUUUUAUGUAUUAAAAUCAUGAGUUUUUAUUCUUGAUGAUUCAGAAAAUUUAUAUAUAAUUGGUAUUGGUGAUUGAUUAUUGAUGAUCAAUUAUAAUUAUAGGAGGUCCACGAUUGUAGUAAAUACGAGAUAAGGUGUGUGGUGGUGGUAUAUAGUCAUUAGUAGUGGCAAGUUAUUAUGACAAACGGUGAUAGGCAAAUCAUGGUUGUAGGUGACGGUAGCAGUAAUGGAAGGGGUUAAUAAUGAUGUCAGGAGUUUGAUUAAUGUAGUAUGAGUGAAGAUGAUGAUGAUAUAUGUUGUAUAUAUGUGUAUUUAGAUACAUAUAAUUCUCAGAUUUCUUAUAUAUAAAAUAGUGAUUUUUGAUAUACAACUGAGUGAUUUUUGCAGUUAAAAACAGUGAUGAAAAAAGGUCUGGGACUAAUUUCUAGUUUCUAGUGGAGUAAACCCCUAUAUAUAUAAAUUAUCGAGUCAUGCAUCGGUGCCAUUCUUCUGGACACGGGAUUCAAUUUAAACCAUGUUUGGAAGACCAUGCUUUCCUUUCUUGAUCCCGUCAUCAACUUUUCUGGAUUACAGCUUAAUCCCAUUAGAGAACUUCAAGAACUUAGUCAAUCCUACAACAUGGAAUUGGAAUUUGCAUCUUCCAAGAAGGAUAACACUUAUAUUGUUGAUAUAAAAGUGAAGGGGAAGAAUGUUUGUGAACAUUCUUGUGCUAGCAACAUCAGCAAAAAAGCUGCCAAAAGAAGGGCUGCGAAGCAAGUAAUUCGGAUUUUGAAGGUAAAAUUCAUGUAAAUCCAUUUUAAACUUUUUUAAAACUGACACUGUGCAGAUGUGUUGUUUUUGAUCUUUUUAAAAUUUCCGGGUUUUAAAAUGUUUCUACGAGAUAUACAUAUACCUGUUAACUAUAUAUUAAUAAAUCAUGAUUGUGGAGGCCGGGGAGUGGAAAAUGAUAUGCAUAUAUAUAUAUAUAGGCUAGUGAUCAAAUAGAAACUAAUAUUAUUCUAGAAACCACUCCUUCAAUCACUGUUUAUAACUACAUAUAUCACUUGUUUCUAUGCUUUUAAUCACUAUUUUAUGUAUUAAAAUCAUGAGUUUUUAUUCUUGAUGAUUCAGAAAAUUUAUAUAUAAUUGGUAUUGGUGAUUGAUUAUUGAUGAUCAAUUAUAAUUAUAGGAGGUCCACGAUUGUAGUAAAUACGAGAUAAGGUGUGUGGUGGUGGUAUAUAGUCAUUAGUAGUGGCAAGUUAUUAUGACAAACGGUGAUAGGCAAAUCAUGGUUGUAGGUGACGGUAGCAGUAAUGGAAGGGGUUAAUAAUGAUGUCAGGAGUUUGAUUAAUGUAGUAUGAGUGAAGAUGAUGAUGAUAUAUGUUGUAUAUAUGUGUAUUUAGAUACAUAUAAUUCUCAGAUUUCUUAUAUAUAAAAUAGUGAUUUUUGAUAUACAACUGAGUGAUUUUUGCAGUUAAAAACAGUGAUGAAAAAAGGUCUGGGACUAAUUUCUAGUUUCUAGUGGAGUAAACCCCUAUAUAUAUAAAUUAUCUAUAUGAUACAUCAAAAAUUAAAUUAUCUAGUAUUAGUUUCAAACAUAGUGGAAAUAUCACAUAAAAAUAUCAUACAUCAAUCAAUAACAUUUAGUAUGUUUGCAAAACAAACAUUGAACUUCUGAUUGUCUUUUUCCACUUGAUUCCCAUAUUUUUAUCCAAUGUCAACACUUCAAGUCAUCUUUAACUAUGGCCUAAGUGAUCAGUACCUUUUAAGAGAGUAAUAUUCAAGGGAAAUUUUAAUCAAACACCUAACAAACGUUAAAAAUAGUAUUUAAAAUUUAGCAUAUAUGCUAUAUAAGGUAUCAAAGAAAAUGUGAUGACAUACAGAGAGAUGAAGAGUGAGGGUCGAGAGAAGUAGAGUUUAUUUAACUUAAGGGUAUUUUAGUCUUUUUAUACUUUUGCAAGUUUUUGCGCUUUUUAGUGCAAGUUUUUUGCGAGUAAUCGCGAGUUAAGCGCGAUUUUUAGUCACUAAAUCGCUCAAAUGCAACUCGGGGAACCUUUGCCUACACGCGAAGUGCGAUUAGUCGUGUGAUUGUAACAACACAUCCAUUGUACUGAUUAUUUUAUUCUUCUUUUUUCAGAAUGUAAGCACGGAGUAUAUUCAUGCAAUUAUGCUUGGCAAGACUAAUAAUUAGCUCAUUGAUUUUUUGAAUAUGUAUGGGGCCCCAUUUUUAAACUGAUAGUGAUGCUAUAGGUUAUCCUGUACUUGUCAAACUUAUGGUAGAAGGUUGUAUGCAAGUAGUGUGUGUGUGUGUGUUGUUAAUUAUUUAUUGCAAGUCAUAGCAUCAUUAGUCAUUACUGUUCUAUGAUUUUGUUUCCCCUUCUGAUACUAUUCAUUGUGUAUCCAUGUACAUUAUACAGGAGCUUGGUUACAAACCCAAGAGUAAAUCGUUAGAGGAGGUUUUGAAGUCGACCCACAAGGUGGAAGCAAAAUUAAUUGGUUAUGAUGAAACACCGAUAGAUGUUAAUGCUCAAUAUGCAAUUGCUCGCAAUGAAAAGAUACCAACAGAUGUUAGCUCUCCAUAUGCCGCAAUUUGUUACAAUGAGACGGCAACAAAUGUGAGAUCUCCAAAUGCCGCAGGACUUGAUAACUUGAAGGUGCAGGAUUCACGUACAAGUGGUGCUUCAUCAUCCAAUGUGCAUUCACUUGGUGUAGAACCACAUAGAUCUGGAGGCAUCAAUAUCCAACCAAUUAUGCCAAUGUCAUCUCUUUGUGAUACUCGUAAAUGCCAGCCUACAGUCAAAAAAUAUAGUGAUAGCUGCUAUAGUGAGUCUCAGACUCCAGGUAAUGAUCGAGCCACUCAGAUAUGGUUUUAUUUGAUACAAUAUCAUAUUUCUGAUUGGAAAGUAAUCCCCUAGGCCUUUCAAUGAAGAAGUCAGCAAAGUCACUUUUGUUUGAAAUUUGUGCGGCCAACUGUUGGAAACCGCCUGUAUUUGUAUGCUGCAAGGAGACAGGGGCAAGUCACUUGAAAGAGUAAGUGGCCGACUAUUUCCAGUGAUUUAUUUAUUUAUUUAUUUAUUGUGGACAUUAUAAUUUUACAUUAGGCUUCAAUCAGAUGCUUGCAAUGAUAUGUCAAAAUAUUUAUUGUGUCUAAGAUUAUGUGAUUCGAAAAUAAAUUACAUAACAAAUUCUAUAUAGGGAAGUGGAAACACUGUUGUCCAAAAACUCUACAUAUUUCUCCUUGCAAACUGCCUGAGAAAUCUGCACAAAAUCUCCUCUUUUUUAUUAUCACUAUCGCUAACUAUCAUCCACACUUACAGGUUUACUUUCAAGGUGAUCGUGAAGCCUGAUAGUUUGGAAAAAUGUUUGAUUGAAGCAAUCGGCAAACCAGCUGGUAAAAAGAAAGAAGCUGCAGAGCAUGCAGCUGAAGGGGCUGUUUGGUUGUUGAGAAAUCAUUAUGGGUAGGUCAAAAUUUAUAGGCUGUAGCUUAACUCAAAAACAUGUACUCUGUGAGAAAGUUAACUAAACUGAUAAAUGAAUAUAGGCAUUCAGUCAAUAUUGGGAGGCUUUGUAAACGUUACAACUGAGGCACUGAAUGUGGUAUACUUGCUACAUAAAAAUGAUUGAUAUUGUGGCAAGAAUUAGUAUUAGAACAAGUAUGAGUACUAGGAAAACGAAUUGGAAAUUAUGGGGGAUAAUAUCUACGGUGAUGACCUUAAGACGAUGUAAUUUUGGCAGUUCAUCCUGGGUUGCGCCUUUGUUAACAGGAUCGCCAGAAGUGUUCUCUGUUGGAGAAACGAAUUUUUUAGUUUUGUCAUUGAACAAAAAGCUUUUCUUUAUUAGCCUCUUGAGAAAGCGGCUAUAAAAAAUACUAUAUUGAGAAACUUUUGUGGUACGUAUAUCAAUUUAUAUAUGUGAAUCCCUGUUUAUAAAAGUAACAAAAUAUACACAUAUUUAUUUAUUUAUUUAUUGUGGACAUUAUAAUUUUACAUUAGGCUUCAAUCAGAUGCUUGCAAUGAUAUGUCAAAAUAUUUAUUGUGUCUAAGAUUAUGUGAUUCGAGAAUAAAUUACAUAACAAAUUCUAUAUAGGGAAGUGGAAACACUGUUGUCCAAAAACUCUACAUAUUUCUCCUUGCAAACUGCCUGAGAAAUCUGCACAAAAUCUCCUCUUUUUUAUUAUCACUAUCGCUAACUAUCAUCCACACUUACAGGUUUACUUUCAAGGUGAUCGUGAAGCCUGAUAGUUUGGAAAAAUGUUUGAUUGAAGCAAUCGGCAAACCAGCUGGUAAAAAGAAAGAAGCUGCAGAGCAUGCAGCUGAAGGGGCUGUUUGGUUGUUGAGAAAUCAUUAUGGGUAGGUCAAAAUUUAUAGGCUGUAGCUUAACUCAAAAACAUGUACUCUGUGAGAAAGUUAACUAAACUGAUAAAUGAAUAUAGGCAUUCAGUCAAUAUUGGGAGGCUUUGUAAACGUUACAACUGAGGCACUGAAUGUGGUAUACUUGCUACAUAAAAAUGAUUGAUAUUGUGGCAAGAAUUAGUAUUAGAACAAGUAUGAGUACUAGGAAAACGAAUUGGAAAUUAUGGGGGAUAAUAUCUACGGUGAUGACCUUAAGACGAUGUAAUUUUGGCAGUUCAUCCUGGGUUGCGCCUUUGUUAACAGGAUCGCCAGAAGUGUUCUCUGUUGGAGAAACGAAUUUUUUAGUGUUGUCAUUGAACAAAAAGCUUUUCUUUAUUAGCCUCUUGAGAAAGCGGCUAUAAAAAAUACUAUAUUGAGAAACUUUUGUGGUACGUAUAUUAAUUUAUAUAUGUGAAUCCCUGUUUUUAAAAGUAACAAAAUAUACACGCAAACACACACAUAAUAAAAUUAUAAAAAUAAUAAACAAUUGUGAGGAGAAUAUUAUCUGCAAAUUUUUAUUACCACAUUAGUCCCCACCAAUAUGCCCUUCAAGUGCUAGUUAAUAUGAUUGUAGUGAUAGUAAAGUUUGAAGUAUAUAAGUUGUAUGUACAAGUCAAAGUUUAGGUCCAAAUAUUUAAGAAACAUAUAGGAGAAUAUAAAAGUUUGAUAUGUUAUGAUUGGUUCUUUUGUUUGUCGUGUCUUAUAUUUAUGUAGGAGAAUUAAACAUUUUAAUCCGGCAAAUUCCUAAUUUUUGCAGAAUUUUAAAGCCCAAGGCGGAGCUGUCGUUCUUUGAUGAUGCAGAUCGAUCUGUCUGUCAAAAAAUUCAUCCUUCCGACCCUCCAAUUAAUCAAGUGUUAUGUGCACCUCAGUCUUCUCAGGAUGCAGCAAAGAGAGAUGUCUGCUUGGAAGCAUAUAACCAAUUGCCUGAACAAGAUGAUGAAAACGAGCACAUGAAAUCCUUGAC